AGAGUUUGAUCAUGGCUCAGAACGAACGCUGGCGGCAGGCUUAACACAUGCAAGUCGAGCGCCCCGCAAGGGGAGCGGCAGACGGGUGAGUAACGCGUGGGAACCUACCUGAAGGUACGGAACAACUCCGGGAAACUGGAACUAAUACCGUAUGUGCCCGCAAGGGGAAAGAUUUAUCGCCUUCAGAUGGGCCCGCGUCAGAUUAGCUAGUUGGUGAGGUAACGGCUCACCAAGGCGACGAUCUGUAGCUGGUCUGAGAGGAUGACCAGCCACACUGGGACUGAGACACGGCCCAGACUCCUACGGGAGGCAGCAGUGGGGAAUAUUGGACAAUGGGCGCAAGCCUGAUCCAGCCAUGCCGCGUGAGUGAUGACGGCCUUAGGGUUGUAAAGCUCUUUCGACGGGGACGAUAAUGACGGUACCCGUAGAAGAAGCCCCGGCUAACUUCGUGCCAGCAGCCGCGGUA
rnacentral:rRNA from 1 species